GAUGAACGCUGGCGGCGUGCCUAACACAUGCAAGUCGAACGGAGAUUACGGACGGAAGUUUUCGGAUGGAAGCCUGUAAUUCUUAGUGGCGGACGGGUGAGUAACGCGUGGGCAACCUGCCCUAUACAGGGGGCUAGCAGCUGGAAACGGCUGGUAAGACCGCAUAAGUCGGUUAAAUCGCAUGAUUUGAUCGGGAAAUGAGAAAUCAGGUAUAGGAUGGGCCCGCGUCCGAUUAGCCAGUUGGCAGGGUAAAAGCCUACCAAAGCGACGAUCGGUAGCCGGACUGAGAGGUCGGACGGCGACAUUGAGACUGAGACACAGCCCAAACUCCUACGGGAGGCAGCAGUGGGGGAUAUUGCACAAUGGAGGAAACUCAGAUGCAGCUACGCCGCGUGAGUGAAUAAGUAUGGCGGUAUGUAAAGCUCGAUCAGCAGGUAAGAUGAUGACGGUACCUGACGAAGAAGCCCCGGCUAACUACGUG
rnacentral:rRNA from 1 species